ACAUGCAAGUCGAGCGAACGGACGAGAAGCUUGCUUCUCUGAUGUUAGCGGCGGACGGGUGAGUAACACGUGGAUAACCUACCUAUAAGACUGGGAUAACUUCGGGAAACCGGAGCUAAUACCGGAUAAUAUUUUGAACCGCAUGGUUCAAAAGUGAAAGACGGUCUUGCUGUCACUUAUAGAUGGAUCCGCGCUGCAUUAGCUAGUUGGUAAGGUAACGGCUUACCAAGGCAACGAUGCAUAGCCGACCUGAGAGGGUGAUCGGCCACACUGGAACUGAGACACGGUCCAGACUCCUACGGGAGGCAGCAGUAGGGAAUCUUCCGCAAUGGGCGAAAGCCUGACGGAGCAACGCCGCGUGAGUGAUGAAGGUCUUCGGAUCGUAAAACUCUGUUAUUAGGGAAGAACAUAUGUGUAAGUAACUGUGCACAUCUUGACGGUACCUAAUCAGAAAGCCACGGCUAACUACGUGCCAGCAGCCGCGGUAAUACGUAGGUGGCAAGCGUUAUCCGGAAUUAUUGGGCGUAAAGCGGGCGUAGGCGGUUUUUUAAGUCUGAUGUGAAAGCCCACGGCUCAACCGUGGAGGGUCAUUGGAAACUGGAAAACUUGAGUGCAGAAGAGGAAAGUGGAAUUCCAUGUGUAGCGGUGAAAUGCGCAGAGAUAUGGAGGAACACCAGUGGCGAAGGCGACUUUCUGGUCUGUAACUGACGCUGAUGUGCGAAAGCGUGGGGAUCAAACAGGAUUAGAUACCCUGGUAGUCCACGCCGUAAACGAUGAGUGCUAAGUGUUAGGGGGUUUCCGCCCCUUAGUGCUGCAGCUAACGCAUUAAGCACUCCGCCUGGGGAGUACGACCGCAAGGUUGAAACUCAAAGGAAUUGACGGGGACCCGCACAAGCGGUGGAGCAUGUGGUUUAAUUCGAAGCAACGCGAAGAACCUUACCAAAUCUUGACAUCCUUUGACAACUCUAGAGAUAGAGCAUUCCCCUUCGGGGGACAAAGUGACAGGUGGUGCAUGGUUGUCGUCAGCUCUUGUCGUGAGAUGUUGGGUUAAGUCCCGCAACGAGCGCAACCCUUAAGCUUAGUUGCCAUCAUUAAGUUGGGCACUCUAAGUUGACUGCCGGUGACAAACCGGAGGAAGGUGGGGAUGACGUCAAAUCAUCAUGCCCCUUAUGAUUUGGGCUACACACGUGCUACAAUGGACAAUACAAAGGGCAGCGAAACCGCGAGGUCGAGCAAAUCCCAUAAAGUUGUUCUCAGUUCGGAUUGUAGUCUGCAACUCGACUACAUGAAGCUGGAAUCGCUAGUAAUCGUAGAUCAGCAUGCUACGGUGAAUACGUUCCCGGGUCUUGUACACACCGCCCGUCACACCACGAGAGUCUGUAACACCCGAAGCCGGUGGAGUGACCUUUUAGGAGCUAGCCGUCGAAG
rnacentral:rRNA from 1 species